GUGCAUGGCCGUUCUUAG
rnacentral:ncRNA from 2 species